rnacentral:rRNA from 1 species
AGUGAACGCUGGCGGUAGGCCUAACACAUGCAAGUCGAACGGCAGCACAGUAAGAGCUUGCUCUUACGGGUGGCGAGUGGCGGACGGGUGAGGAAUACAUCGGAAUCUACUUUUUCGUGGGGGAUAACGUAGGUAAACUUACGCUAAUACCGCAUACGACCUACGGGUGAAAGCAGGGGAUCUUCGUACCUUGCGCGAUUGAAUGAGCCGAUGUCGGAUUAGCUAGUUGGCGGGGUAAAGGCCCACCAAGGCGACGAUCCGUAGCUGGUCUGAGAGGAGGGUCAGCCACACUGGAACUGAGACACGGUCCAGACGCCUACGGGAGGCAGCAGUGGGGAAUAUUGGACAAAGGGCGCAAGCCUGAUCCAGCCAUACCGCGUGGGUGAAGAAGGCCUUCGGGUUGUAAAGCCCUUUUGUUGGGAAAGAAAAGCAGCAGGUUAAUACCCCGCUGUUCUGACGGUACCCAAAGAAUAAGCACCGGCUAACUUCGUG